rnacentral:rRNA from 1 species
CCCUUAGAUGUUCUGGGCCGCACGCGUGCUACACUGAGUGGAUCAGCGGGUCAGGUUGCGCGAAAGUGUUUCCUAAUCUUGAAAUCCGCUCGUGAUGGGGAUUGACGGUUGCAAUUUUCCGUCAUGAACGAGGAAUACCUUGUAAGCGCGGGUCAUCAUCCCGCGCUGAAUACGUCCCUGCCCUUUGUACACACCGCCCGUCGCUCCUACCGAUUGAGUGGUCCGGUGAGGCUUUGGGAUCUGAGCAAAGAGAGCGUUUCGCUCGUCUUGCCCGGAAAACUCAGUCGAACCUUAUCAUUUAGAGGAAGGAGAAGUCGUAACA